rnacentral:rRNA from 1 species
UACGUAGGGUGCGAGCGUUAAUCGGAAUUACUGGGCGUAAAGCGUGCGCAGGCGGUUCGUUAAGUCAGAUGCGAAAGCCCCGGGCUCAACCUGGGAACUGCAUUUGAAACUGGCGGGCUUGAGUGUGGCAGAGGGGGGUGGAAUUCCGCGUGUAGCAGUGAAAUGCGUAGAGAUGCGGAGGAACACCGAUGGCGAAGGCAGCCCCCUGGGCUAGCACUGACGCUCAGGCACGAAAGCGUGGGGAGCAAACAGG